UACAGAGGGGGCAAGCGUUAUUCGGAAUUAUUGGGCGUAAAGGGCGCGUAGGCGGCUUUUCAAGUGACGGGUGAAAUCCCUCGGCUUAACCGAGGAACUGCCUGUCAGACUGGAAGGCUUGAGACCGGGAGAGGUGAGUGGAAUUCCCAGUGUAGCGGUGAAAUGCGUAGAUAUCUGGAGGAACACCGGUGGCGAAGGCGGCAUCCUGGACCGGUAUUGACGCUGAGGAGCGAAAGCCAGGGGAGCAAACGGG
rnacentral:rRNA from 1 species